UACGUAGGGCGCAAGCGUUGUCCGGAAUUAUUGGGCGUAAAGAGCGUGUAGGCGGUUAGGUAGGUCCGUUGUGAAAACUCGAGGCUCAACCUCGAGACGCCGAUGGAAACCAUCUGACUAGAGUCCGGAAGAGGAGAGUGGAAUUCCUGGUGUAGCGGUGAAAUGCGCAGAUAUCAGGAAGAACACCCGUGGCUAAGGCGGCUCUCUAGUACGGUACUGACGCUGAGACGCGAAAGCGUGGGGAGCGAACAGG
rnacentral:rRNA from 1 species